UACGUAGGGUGCAAGCGUUGUCCGGAAUUAUUGGGCGUAAAGAGCUCGUAGGCGGUCUGUCGCGUCUGCUGUGAAAACUCAGGGCUUAACCCUGAGCUUGCAGUGGGUACGGGCAGACUAGAGUGCGGUAGGGGAGACUGGAAUUCCUGGUGUAGCGGUGAAAUGCGCAGAUAUCAGGAGGAACACCGGUGGGCGAAGGCGGGUCUCUGGGCCGUAACUGACGCUGGAGGAGCGAAAGCAUGGGGAGCGAACAGG
rnacentral:rRNA from 1 species